UACGUAGGGGGCAAGCGUUGUCCGGAAUCAUUGGGCGUAAAGCGCGUGUAGGCGGUCCGGUAAGUCCGCUGUGAAAGUCGGGGGCUCAACCCUCGGAUGCCGGUGGAUACUGUCGGGCUUGAGUACGGAAGAGGAGAGUGGAAUUCCUGGUGUAGCGGUGAAAUGCGCAGAUAUCAGGAAGAACACCUAUGGCGAAGGCAGCUCUCUGGGACGGUACUG
rnacentral:rRNA from 1 species